rnacentral:rRNA from 1 species
CCCUUAGAUGUUCUGGGCUGCACGCGCGCUACACUGACACACGCAACGAGUCUCCUGCCCUGACAGGGUCGGGUAAUCAUUUGAGUGUGUAUCGUGAUGGGGAUAGAGUAUUGCAAUUAUUGCUCUUGAACGAGGAAUUCCUAGUAAGCACAAGUCAGCAGCUUGUGCUGAUUACGUCCCUGCCCUUUGUACACACCGCCCGUCGCUCCUACCGAGGGGGUGAUCCGGUGAAUGAUUCGGACUCUGGUGCUUCUAGCUGCUAGAUGCGCCGGAGGAAGUUUUGUGAACCUUAUCACUUGGAGGAAGGAGAAGUCGUAACA